rnacentral:rRNA from 2 species
UGUCGGACGUUACCAAACUGUUGCCUCGGCGGGGUCACGCCCCGGGUGCGUCGCAGCCCCGGAACCAGGCGCCCGCCGGAGGAACCAACCAAACUCUUUCUGUAGUCCCCUCGCGGACGUAUUUCUUACAGCUCUGAGCAAAAAUUCAAAAUGAAUCAAAACUUUCAACAACGGAUCUCUUGGUUCUGGCAUCGAUGAAGAACGCAGCGAAAUGCGAUAAGUAAUGUGAAUUGCAGAAUUCAGUGAAUCAUCGAAUCUUUGAACGCACAUUGCGCCCGCCAGUAUUCUGGCGGGCAUGCCUGUCCGAGCGUCAUUUCAACCCUCGAACCCCUCCGGGGGAUCGGCGUUGGGGAUCGGGACCCCUCACACGGGUGCCGGCCCCGAAAUACAGUGGCGGUCUCGCCGCAGCCUCUCCUGCGCAGUAGUUUGCACAACUCGCACCGGGAGCGCGGCGCGUCCACGUCCGUAAAACACCCAACUUUCUGAAAUGUUGACCUCGGAUCAGGUAGGAAUACCCGCUGAACUUAAGCAUAUCAAA